rnacentral:rRNA from 1 species
GACGAACGCUGGCGGCGUGCCUAAUACAUGCAAGUCGAGCGAACAGACGAGGUGCUUGUUCCACUGACGUUAGCGGCGGACGGGUGAGUAACACGUGGGUAACCUACCUAUAAGCCUGGGAUAACUUCGGGAAACCGGAGCUAAUACCGGAUAAUAUAUUGAAACACAAGGUUCAAUAGUGAAAGACGCUUUUGCUGUACCCUAAAGUUGUAUCCCGGCCGCAUAAGUUGGUUGGUAAGGUAACGGCUUACCAAGCCAACGUUGCGUAGCCGACCUGAGAGGGUGACGGGCAACACUGGAACGGGACCACGGUCCAAACUCCUACGGGAGGCGGCGGAGGGGAUUCUUCCGCAAUGGGGGAAGGCCUGACGGAGCAAGGCGGCGUAGGGGAUGAAGGUCUUCGGAUCGUAAAACUCUGUUAUUGGGGAGAAACAAAUGUGUAAGUAACUAUGCACGUCUUGACGGUACCUAAUCAGAAAGCCACGGCUAACUACGUG